rnacentral:rRNA from 1 species
AUGGAGAAGGUCGACUGCUACGUCGUGCCGCAGACCACGGGCACCGGCCGGAACAUCUUCCAGGGCGGCAGCCCGCUGUCGUCGUCGCUGCCCCUCCUCGGCGUGCAGCUCGUCCUCAUCGUCGUCGUCACCCGUGUCCUCUACCUCCUCUGCAAGCCGCUCAAGCAGCCCCGCGUCGUGACCGAUAUCAUGGGCGGCAUUAUACUCGGCCCGUCGCUGCUGUGUCGCUACGAGUGGUUCAAGCAGCUGGUGUUCCCGGCGAGGGGGGAGCCGGUGCUGAACACGGUGGCCACGUUCGGCCUCAUGUACGUCAUCUUCCUCAUCGGCGUGCGGAUGGACCCGAUGCAGGCCCUCCGGUCCGGCAAGAAGGGCGUCACGAUCGGCCUCUCCGGCUUCCUCAUCGCGCUGGGCCUGACGGCGGCGGGAUUUUCCGGCGACGCUCUGUCCAAGGAGGAGGAUCACAUGUCGACGCGGCUCACGUUCCAGUUCGCGCUCGCGGCCACGCUCUCGCUCACGUCCUUCGCGGUGCUCUCGCCGAUCCUGUCCGAGCUCAGCCUCCUCAACUCGGACCUCGGCCGCAUCGCCAUGUCGGCGUCCAUGACCACGGACGGCAUCGCAUGGCUCAUCAUGGUGGGCUACGUGCUCGCCGAGGCCUACCUCGUGUCCCCCGCCACGUCGCUCUGGGCCUUCAUGUCGGUGGCGGCGCUCGUCGCCUUCAUACUGCUGGUCGUGCGCCCGAUCGCGCUCCUGGUGAUCGAGCGCACGCCGGCGGGCAGCCCGGUGGACGAGGCGUACGUCUUCUUCUUCCUCCUCAUCGUGCUCCUGGUGGGGCUGUACAGCGACAUCAUCGGCACCAACUCGUUCCACGGCGCGCUCAUGCUGGGGCUGGCCAUCCCCGACGGGCCGCCGCUGGGCACGGCGCUCGGCGAGAAGAUCGAGGCCAUGGUGACCGGGCUGAUCCUGCCGCUCUACUACACCAUGACCGGGCUGAGCACCGACAUGUGGGAGAUACACUGGGGGAGGCUGCAGCUGAUCCUGCUCCUUGGGUGGUUCGGGAAGCUCGCCGGCGUCCUGGCGUCGUCGCUGUGCCUUGACAUCCCGCCGCUGGACGCCGUGUCUCUCAGCCUCUUCAUGAACUCCAAGGGCAUCGUCGAGGUCAUCACCUUCAGCUUCUUCGUCACCAACAAGCUGAUCGACAAGCACAUGUUCAGCGCGCUGGUGUUCUCGUCGGUGGUGAUCACGGCAGUGUCGGUGCCGGUGGCGAGCUGUCUGUACGACCCGGCGCGGCGCUACGCCGUGUACAAGCGGCGCACGGUGCAGCACCUCAAGGCGGACGCCGACCUGCGGAUCCUGGCGUGCAUCCACGACGAGUCCCACGUCCAGGGCACGCUCUCGCUGCUGGAGGCGUCGCACGCCACGCCGCAGACGCCCGUCGCCCUCUUCCUCCUCCAGCUCGUCGAGAUCGCCGGCCGCUCCGCGCCGGUGUUCAUACCCCACAAGCUCCGCCGGAGCGCCUCGUCCAGGAUCGGCCCGACGUCGUCGGCCGGCGCGCCGUCCACCGACUCGGACCGCAUCAUCAACGCCUUCCUCCAGUACGAGCAGCGGCACCCGGAGGGCGCCGUGUCCAUGCAGUCCUUCACCACCAUCUCCCCCUACUCGUCCAUGCACGACGAGGUGUGCCGCCUCGCCGUCGACAAGCGCACGUCGCUCAUCCUCCUCCACUACCACAAGCGGCACAUGCUGGCCGGCGGCAUGCGCGCCGCCAUGGGGCUCCGCGUGGUGAACCGCAAGGUGCUGGAGGUGGCGCCGUGCUCCGUGGGGGUCUUCGUGGACCGCAACGCCGGGAGCGUGGGCCUGAGCGCCUUCAUCAUGCAGGACCAUCCGCCGUCGUCCGGCGGCCGCCUCGGCUUCCACGCGGCCGUGGCAGCGCUCUUCUUCGGCGGCGGCGACGACCGCGAGGCCCUGGCGUACGUGACGCGCAUGGCGCGGCACCCGGGGUCGAGGGCGGCGGUGAUCCGGUUCCUGCCGACCCGGGGCAUCAAGGACGACCCGGCGGACCGGCGGGUGGACAACAAGGCCAUCGAGGAGGUGAAGGCGCUGGCGGCGCGGAGCAAGUACAUGAACCUGCAGGUGCAGGAGGAGCUGGUGGGCGACAUGGAGAAGAUCGUGGAGGUGCUGAGGGGGCUCGACAAGGCCGGCUACGACCUCGUCAUCGUGGGCAUGCGCCACAGGUGGUACCCGGUGAUGUCGGCCAACGGGCUGUCGGACUGGAGCGAGUGCCCCGAGCUGGGCGUCAUCGGCGACCUGCUCGCGUCCUCCGACUUCGACACGCCCUACUCGGUGCUCAUCAUGAAGCAGCAGGACCAGGGCGGGCUGAACGCCGCCGUGCCGGGCGCCCAGGACGUGUGGCACGGCGACGACGGUGCCGCGGCGCCGACGCCGGACCGGACAAUGACCACCGCCGUGUCUAGCAGAUACCGGCAGUAG